ACAGCUCAGUAACACGUAGUCAACCUAACCUAUGGACGGGAAUAACCUCGGGAAACUGAGAAUAAUGCCCGAUAGAACACUAUACCUGGAAUGGUUUGUGUUCCAAAUGAUUUAUCGCCAUAGGAUGGGACUGCGGCCUAUCAGUUUGUUGGUGAGGUAAUGGCCCACCAAGACUAUUACAGGUACGGGCUCUGAGAGGAGUAGCCCGGAGAUGGGUACUGAGACACGGACCCAGGCCCUAUGGGGCGCAGCAGGCGAGAAAACUUUGCAAUGUGCGAAAGCACGACAAGGUUAAUCCGAGUGAUUUGUGCUAAACGAAUCUUUUGUUAGUCCUAGAAACACUAACGAAUAAGGGGUGGGCAAGUUCUGGUGUCAGCCGCCGCGGUAAAACCAGCACCUCAAGUGGUCAGGAUGAUUAUUGGGCCUAAAGCAUCCGUAGCCGGCUCUGUAAGUUUUCGGUUAAAUCUGUACGCUUAACGUACAGGCUGCCGGGAAUACUGCAAAGCUAGGGAGUGGGAGAGGUAGACGGUACUCGGUAGGAAGUGGUAAAAUGCUUUGAUCUAUCGAUGACCACCUGUGGCGAAGGCGGUCUACCAGAACACGUCCGACGGUGAGGGAUGAAAGUUGGGGGAGCAAACCGGAUUAGAUACCCGGGUAGUCCCAGCUGUAAACUAUGCAAACUCAGUGAUGCAUUGGCUUGUGGCCAGUGCAGUGCUGCAGGGAAGCCGUUAAGUUUGCCGCCUGGGAAGUACGUACGCAAGUAUGAAACUUAAAGGAAUUGGCGGGGGAGCACCACAAGGGGUGAAGCCUGCGGUUCAAUUGGACUCAACGCCGGU
rnacentral:rRNA from 1 species